UACGUAGGUGGCAAGCGUUGUCCGGAAUUAUUGGGCGUAAAGCGCGCGCAGGCGGUCCUUUAAGUCUGAUGUGAAAGCCCACGGCUCAACCGUGGAGGGUCAUUGGAAACUGGGGGACUUGAGUACAGAAGAGAAGAGUGGAAUUCCACGUGUAGCGGUGAAAUGCGUAGAGAUGUGGAGGAACACCAGCGGCGAAGGCGGCGCUCUGGGCCGGAACUGACGCUGAGGAGCGAAAGCGUGGGUAGCAAACAGG
rnacentral:rRNA from 1 species